UUUCUUGGUGUAGCUUUUGACUACUGCAGUAUUCCCUGCGGUUCAUGCAACUCAUCUUUCGCUUUUGUUCUCAACUUCUGGGUUUUCAUCUUUCAAGCUUCAAUACAGGUGUGCGGCGGGGGAAGUUGUGUGUUGGCGUCGUCUUCACCAGUUUAUAGUCCGUCGUGCGUGCCCUUAAUUUAUCCUCUUUGCAGUCCAGAUUUCUUCAUUUCGUGUUUUUAACCAGUCGAUCCUCUCUCUUCUCUCUCUCCUCACCUGCGGCCGUGGGCAGAUCGGAUCGCGUCUGAAGCAAAAUUAGUUCUACUAGCUGCCGUCUUCGAUAAGGUGAAGGUUGUUUGGCGUGGAUUUAAUUUCGUGCAAUCAUGCAGCUCAUAUUUUUGAAAUUGAUGGUCAUGUCUUCGUCUCUCAAGUUGAUUUGUGCAUGCUGAGCUCGCCAUCUUCAUUCCUCUGCUCAACUCUCAGCCACCAGUGGGUUGCGUUGGUUCCAGUCGAAGUUAGCCCUUUGUCUGUGGAUUUUUUUUUCUUCGAGAGAAGAGCUUCAAACUGAUUCCACCUAUUAUUUUAUUCACGAGAAUCAACUCCACAUACAAAGCUUCCGCAGGAUAUCGAGUGGCAUUUUAUUGGGCAUUUGCAGAGCAAUAAAGUGAAACCUUUAUUAACUGGUGUCGCAAACCUUGCCAUGGUAGAGAGUGUAGUCGAUCAGCAGGUAAACAUCACUAUGACAUCCAAAGCAUAUGUACAAGAAGAAGAGAGCAGUAGACUGAAACUAAGCCAACUUGAUCAACAGCUCCAGCGAGGUCAUAAAUGACAGUGAUGCUGUAUCUGAAAUCUCAAGAUAAGGUAAUUAGAUAAUUGAUUUAGUGGGUGAUGAAUUUCUGAUAAGUUGUGGGUGUUUUAGGUAGGUUUAUAUGUGUUGAUUCAUCUAUCUCUGCAAACUUGGCUCAAUAAGUGUGCAUCAGGUGUAUUUUUAUCAGCUUUUCUUUCUACCUCAUCCACUAUAUCAUCCAUUGAGGUAAGUUUCGAGAUCAUCCACUGUAUGGUAUAUUUAGGAGUAGUAUUUAAUCCCCAGGUUGCUUAUGUACCACUCACUUUACACUAAUGGCUCCUGUAUCUUAGGGUAAAGUCAAUAAACAAUAAUGAUCAAAUAUCAGCUAUAUAUUGCUUUUCUGAGUCAGAAUAACUUAUAUAAUUGAUUUUCUGCAUUC